rnacentral:rRNA from 1 species
AUGGACCUCCUCGACGCGGGCCACCGCCACUCGUCGGAACUUCCCGCCGCCGGCGCCGACAUGGAAGGCGCUUCAGUGCUUCCGCUCUCCGGAGCUGCCUACCAGCCCUACGUCUCCGAGCUCCUUUCCUUCUCCAUCGAGCGCCUCCACAAGGAGCCGGAGCUGCUGCGGGUGGACGGAGAGCGGGUGCGGCGGCAGAUGCAGGAAGUGGCGGUGGAGAACUACGCCGCCUUUAUAGCCGCCUCCGAGGCGCUCUCCUUCGUGCGGGCACAGCUCGAGGGGUUCGACAAGCACCUCGAGGCACUGGUAGAGGAGAUACCCAAUUUAACAUCUGGUUGCACCGAGUUUGUUGAGUCAGCACAUCAAAUUUUGGAAGAGAGGAAGCUCAAUCAGACAUUACUAGCCAACCACAGUACCUUGCUUGACCUGCUUGAAAUCCCACAACUUAUGGACACAUGCAUACGGAAUGGGAACUAUGAUGAGGCACUCGAUCUAGAAGCUUCUGUUAGUAAAAUUUCGAAGUUGCACCCUGAUUUACCUGUCAUCCAAGGAUUAGCUGCUGAAGUCAAGAAGACGAUACAAUCACUAAUUUCUCAGCUUCUCCAAAAGCUUCGAUCAAAUAUUCAGUUACCCGAAUGCCUCCGUAUUGUCGCACAUUUGCGCCGGAUUGGAGUGUUCAGUGAAUCAGAAUUACGCCUACAGUUCCUGAGAUGCAGGGAAGCUUGGCUUUCUGGGAUUCUUGAUGAUCUGGACCAAAGGAAUGUAUAUGAUUAUCUGAAAGGCAUGGUGUCUUGCCACAGGACACAUCUAUUUGAUGUUGUCAAUCAAUACCGAGCAAUAUUCAAUAAUGAUAAAUCUGGAAGUGAAGAGAACAGCGACGGUGGGCUGCUUUUCAGCUGGGCAAUGCACCAAGUUAGUAAUCACCUCACCACUCUUCAAGUUAUGUUGCCAAAUAUAACAGAAGGUGGGUCCCUGUCAAACAUGCUUGAAAACUGCAUGUAUUGUGCGAUGGGUCUCGGCUUGGUUGGACUGGAUUUCCGUUGCCUGCUUCCACCAAUUUUUGAAAAUGCGGUUUUAAAUUUAUUCUCGAAGAAUAUGAGUACAGCGGUUGAGAAUUUUCAGGUUGUCUUGGAUUCACAUCGUUGGGUGCCGAUGCCAUCUAUUGGCUUUGUCACAAAUGGAGCUGUGGAUGAUACUUCUGAUGAUGUGACACCACCUUCUGUUUUGAUGGAGCAUCCACCUCUCGCAGUGUUUGUUAAUGGUGUUUCGGCAGCAAUGAAUGAGCUAAAACCAUGUGCACCAUUGAGCUUGAAGCAUGUCCUUGCUCAGGAGGUGGUGAAAGGAUUGCAAGCAGUUUCUGACUCCCUAGUCAGAUACAAUGCCAUGCGGAUGCUGCGUGGAAAUGAGUCUUCCCUUUUCCUCUCACUUUGCCAGGCAUUUAUUGAGGUCGCAUAUCCUUAUUGUGCUGCAUGUUUUGGACGAUGCUACCCCAACGGAGGAGUGCUGAUCACAGAGUGCCCCAGCUUAUUGGAUGCUGUCAGCCAACUACCUAUAAGAUCAGGCUCUGGGAUCAGCAGCAUUGAUCGAAAGUCGUCAGGAGGCAUCGAAAGAAGGCAGUCCGGAGGCAUAGAAAGAAAGCAGACAGGAGGCAUCGAGAGAAAGCAGUUGGAAGGCAUCGAGAGAAGGCAGUCAGGAGGCAUUGAAAGAAGGCAGUCGAUCGAGAGUGCUGGGACUGCGGCCUCUGAGAACGGACUUGUAACCAAUGGCCCUGAGCCAGAGGUGACCAGCGACGCGGGAACCACUGCCGAACCAGCUGGUGCCGACAUGCAGACCGAUGCACCCGCAAACGCAUAG